UACGUAGGGUGCGAGCGUUGUCCGGAAUUAUUGGGCGUAAAGAGCUCGUAGGCGGUCUGUCGCGUCGGUCGUGAAAACUUGGGGCUUAACCCUGAGCUUGCGGUCGAUACGGGCAUGACUGGAGUUCGGCAGGGGAGACUGGAAUUCCUGGUGUAGCGGUGAAAUGCGCAGAUAUCAGGAGGAACACCGGUGGCGAAGGCGGGUCUCGUGGGCCGAUGACUGACGCUGAGGUGCGAAAGCGUGGGGAGCAACAGG
rnacentral:rRNA from 1 species